rnacentral:rRNA from 1 species
AGAGUUUGAUCAUGGCUCAGAUUGAACGCUGGCUGCAUGCUUAAUACAUGCAAGUCGAACGGUAACAUUAGGAGCUUGCUCCUAGAUGACGAGUGGCGGACGGGUGAGUAAUGCAUGGAAAUCUACCUUUCAGCGGGGGGCAGUCCAGAGAAAUUUGGUUUAAUACCGCAUGUCUUCUACGGAAGAAAGUAGGCCACUAUUUAUAAGCUUACACUGAAAGAUGAGUCCAUGUUCGAUUAGCUAGUUGGUAGGGUAAGAGCCUACCAAGGCGACGAUCGAUAGCUGGUCUGAGAGGACGAUCAGCCACACUGGGACUGAGACACGGCCCAGACUCCUACGGGAGGCAGCAGUAGGGAAUAUUGGACAAUGGGCGCAAGCCUGAUCCAGCAAUGCAGCGUGUGUGAAGAAGGCCUGAGGGUUGUAAAGCACUUUUAUGAAGGAAGAAGGUCUGAUAGUUAAUACCUAUUGGAAUUGACAUUACUUCAAGAAAAAGCACCGGCUAACUCUGUGCCAGCAGCCGCGGUAAUACAGAGGGUGCGAGCGUUAAUCGGAAUUACUGGGCGUAAAGGGUACGUAGGCGGAUUUAUAAGUCGGAUGUGAAAUCCCUGGGCUCAACCUAGGAACUGCAUUCGAUACUAUUAAUCUAGAGUACAGCAGAGGAAAGUGGAAUUUCUAGUGUAGCGGUGAAAUGACAUAGAUAUU